rnacentral:rRNA from 1 species
UGAAAUUAGCAGAUAUCGGGAGGAACUCCGAUGAGGAAGCCAGGUAUCUGGGCAUUAAAGGCAGGUGAGGAGUGAAAGCAUGGGGAGGGAACAGGAUUGGAUGCCUUGGUAGUACAAUCAGAUAACGUGGUACUCUAGGUGUGGGGGACAUUGAUACGUUUUUCUGGGGAGUAGUUUCAGCAUUUAAUGGAAAGCGAUGGGAGUACGGCCGGGAGAGUAAAUUCACAAGAAAUUGACUGGGGGGAGCACAAGGGGGGGAGCACGAGGAGUAAUUCGAUGUAAUCGUAGAAGAACGUUACCAGGGGAGCACAUGACACCGGAAAAGACGUGGAAACGAGGUGCCCCAGAAAGUGGUUGGUUUCCAGGUGAAGCAUAGGGUGCGUCAGGUUGGUUGUCGAGAUGUUGGGUUAAGUCCUGCAACGAGUGCAACCCUGUGUGCAAGUUCCCAGCAUGAGUAUGGCAGGGGAGUCAUAUGAGACAGCCGGGGUCAACUCGCAGGAAGAGUGGGGAAGAAGUCAAAUCAUCAUGUCACAUUAUGCUCGUGGCCUUCAGCCAUGGUACAAUGGCCGGUACAAAUGGGUUGGUGACUAGAGAGCAAGGUCAGAGGGUAAUACCCAAAGAAGGCAAUGUUAUCAAAUUCCGGAUCGCGAGGUUCUGGCAAUCUGGAGANUNCCGCAAAGAAUNGUACGUGANGUCUGAAUAGNGUAGAAUACUGCNANGAAUNCAUAGACANANGCGACUAGUCCGAGGUCGACAAUAGACUGCUCNGCNCUCGAGAGUCANCUGUGUUANCCACNCGNGCCCCGNCUCGUGAUCACACAAGCUCCGACNCGCAGAUACAGAUNUGNGUCAAACCAACAACGCGAGAGGCGGCGGCUGGUCACAAAUCCCGCCAUCGCGNCGGNGGAGCUACUUAUAGAUGAGUCGUAG